GCAGCGGUCUACAUCACUGCCCCUUCUGCAGAUACAAAGGGUCAAAAUGUGAUAUCGACCAUCACAUUAAAUGCCAUGCCUCGGUUAAAUACAGAGGUCUGCAGAGGAGCUUUCAGGAAGCAGGAAGAGAAGACGGGAGGAAAAAAAGCUACAGGAAGAUUAUGUUGUCCUGAAGGACACAAUUCAGGCAGCAGCAUGGUGCCAGUUACAGUCCUUCAAGGACAGCGUUUCUCUCCCAGAGGUCAUUGGGAUGGAAGGUUGGGAGCAGAUGGCAGCAUCAACACAGCGCAAAUCCCAUGACGGCGGGGAUGAGGAAGAAACGUG
ensembl:lncRNA